AUCCAGCUGACUAGUCCCAAAUAAGAUGAAACGAGCGUUCUGGAU
rnacentral:hammerhead_ribozyme from 1 species